UGCCCCCAGCAGGGGCUGGAAUCCAGCCUGGGUUGAGUCAGCUCAGCGGGGCCCCUCCCCACGCACCCCCUUCGCCCCCGGCUUCCAUCCCACAGACGGGCUUUCUUGCGGUCUACCCCGUGUCCUCUGACAGAUUCUGAAAGCAGGUGGACGAGGGAAGACUUUAGCAGGAAAUAGCACAGAUGCAUCAGGAUGAAGUCUUUGAAUAACUGAAUAUACAAAGAGACAUAAAAAAAAUAAUAAUAAUA